CACGUAGGGUGCGAGCGUUGUCCGGAAUUAUUGGGCGUAAAGAGCUCGUAGGCGGUGUGUCGCGUCGGCCGUGAAAACCUGCAGCUUAACUGUGGGCGUGCGGUCGAUACGGGCAUCACUGGAGUUCGGCAGGGGAGACUGGAAUUCCUGGUGUAGCGGUGAAAUGCGCAGAUAUCUGGGGGAAGGCCGGCGGCGAAGGCGCCAUUCUGGGAAAUUCCUGACACUGAGGCACGAAAGCGUGGGGAGCAAACAGG
rnacentral:rRNA from 1 species